rnacentral:rRNA from 1 species
AUUGAACGCUGGCGGCAGGCCUAACACAUGCAAGUCGAACGAGUGGCGGACGGGUGAGUAAUGUCUGGGAAACUGCCCGAUGGAGGGGGAUAACUACUGGAAACGGUAGCUAAUACCGCAUACCAUCGGAUGUGCCAAGAUGGGAUUAGCUAUUAGGUGGGGUAAGGGCUCACCUAGGCGACGAUCCCUAGCGGGUCUGAGCGGAUGACCGGCCACACUGGAAUGUAGACACGGUCCAGACUCCUACGGGAGUGAGCAGUGGGGAAUAUUGCACAAUGGGCGCAAGCCUGAUGCAGCCAUGCCGCGUGUAUGAAGAAGGCCUUCGGGUUGUAAAGUACUUUCAGCGGGGAGGCGUUACCCGCAGAAGAAGCACCGGCUAACUCCGUGCCAGCAGCCGCGGUAAUUC